rnacentral:rRNA from 1 species
GUACAAUAAGCUACAUAAGAGCGUAUGGGGAAUGCCUAGGCUCUCAGAGGCGAUGAAGGACGUGAUAAGCUGCGAAAAGCUGCGGGGAUUGGCACAUACAACGUGAUCCGCAGAUAUCCGAAUGGGGCAACCCACUAUAUUGAAGAUAUAGUAUCCGCAAGGAAGCAAACCCGGAGAACUGAAACAUCUAAGUACCCGGAGGAGAAGAAAACAAAAGUGAUUCCGUAAGUAGUGGCGAGCGAACGCGGAUUAGCCCAAACCGAUAUUGUUACGGCAAUAUCGGGGUUGUAGGACCACGACAUUCGAAGCAUGAUGAAUUAGAACCCUUUGGAAAGAGGGGCCAUAGACGGUGAUAGCCCGGUAUAGGUAAAGAAUGCAUAGAUAGUGGUAUCCUGAGUAGUGCGGGGCACGUGAAACCCUGUAUGAAUUUGGCGGGACCAUCCGUUAAGGCUAAAUACUCCUGAGAGACCGAUAGUGAACUAGUACCGUGAGGGAAAGGUGAAAAGAACCCUGAAUAAGGGAGUGAAAUAGAACCUGAAACCAUACGCUUACAAGCGGUCGGAGCAGACUUAGGUCUGUGACGGCGUGCCUUUUGCAUAAUGAGCCUACGAGUUACCGUUGCCAGCGAGGUUAAGUGGUUAAGCCACGGAUCCGUAGCGAAAGCGAGUCUGAAUAGGGCG